rnacentral:lncRNA from 1 species
GUUCCCUCUGUGACUGAGGUUAGAUGUCACUGGAAACUUCCCAGGCAGGUGGUUCAACUGAGAGGAGAGAGUGGGAGGAAGUAACACCUGAGAAUCGUGUGGGACGUGCAUUGAAAAAUGCAUACCUAGCCCACUGCUGCAAUUUUGUUGUGCCUGGGGCAUGCGCUGGCAGGUGGACAAAGAUGUAUAAUUUUCUGCACAAAUGAUUCUGAUUCAUCCCCUCUUCCUCUACCUGCCCACCCCCAUUCUUAUGAACCACUGUGAUAGUUAAAAGUGAGGGAAGAACAUUAGUCUUCAGGGUUACACUUAGGCCAUGAGCCCUGUUCAGAUGGGAUCUCAAUGCUCUGGCUUGCUCUCUGGGACCUCACACCCUCUUACUCUCCACCCAGCAACCCAAAGGCUUCACUGAGUGUCUCUGGGGUAAGUUUCAGCCUGUGUCAGGGUGACUAGAAUGAAAACAGAGAGAGCUGUCCAGCUGAAAACGAGAAAGGAAUGAAAGGAUCCACAAAAAGCCUUUCUAAAGCAGUAAAACGUUUAUAAAGGAGAAAGGAAACUGGGGGGUGGCCAGGGUGUAUUCCCAGUCUUUGCCUCCUCACAUUCCAGGGCAGUGUGAGCACUCAACCUGGUUUUCUAUCUCCUUUCUUCUCCAUCUCCAGGAACGUUUGGAGAUAGUUUUGGGUGUCACAACUGGGAGAGGCAUAGUGCUACUGGCAUCUAGUGAGUAGAGGCCAGGGAUGCUGCUGCACAUCCUGUGGUACAGAAGACAGUGCCCUCAUAACAAAGCAUGUUCCAGCCCCAAAUCUCAGCAGUGCUGAAGUUGAGAGGCCCUGCUCCAGAGCCUUUACUUUCCUACAACCCUCUCCUCCUUUCGUCUGUCCCCUUUCUUGUGCUAUUUCCCUUGGGUCCAAAUGGAAAGAUAAUGACAUCUAGCUAGAAUGCUUUAUGGACCUCAAGUAGUGUCCCUCUGUCCUCAGUCUGUAGUUGGUGAGUAUUCAGCAAUAAGGUCCCUCGAGUAAAGUGACUCCUUAUCUCAUCUAUGAAAUCUGGGAACUCAUGGAGAGACAAGAAUAGCCUAAAUACCAGUGGACUGGGAACACGAUCUGUGACCUGCAAGCUUUGAGGAUCACUGUCCUUAAAUAGUCUUGAACUAUGACUGCUAAACUUUUGUCUUUCAGAGCCAUCUCUAUUUCUCUAGCUUAACAUUUUCCUAGGAUAUUCCUCAGCAUUGCCAUUCCUUGGGGAUGACUGGAUGAUUGGGGGCUAUGAAUUGGGGCCCCCAAAAACCACUCCUCACCCCCACAACAUGUCAUUAUGAUUCGUGUUCCUAUUGAACUUGUAAAUUCAAUGGAGAAAUAGAACCGGUGUUAGUCGUUACCUGAUAACUUCAGAAACUGAUUUUCUGAGAAAAUGUAUGCCUUGAAGAAAGAAGGCCUCUGUGCAUUUUUUUGCUUAAAUAAUUAAAAGAUUAGUGUCCUGAUCUGAGGGUGUUUUAUCACUAUUCAUUACACCUCGUUACAUUUCUUCAGAGCUGUAGGGUAAGACAGAACCCGUAGAAAGGACUUUCAAAGAUUUGACAAUGACAAAAGGGCACCAGGGCUUCUGACUUUAAAACCUUUCUUCAACACACCUAUACUAAACUUUAAAUAUACUUCAUCUGUGAAGUGAAGAGCUAGGAAGGAAAGAGAGAAGUAGCUGAUGUGGGUUCCCAUUCAAAGACCUGAACACAGUGCUAAGUGUCUGUAUCUACCAUGUUUGGGGGACUAUAUGAAGCAUCUCUUUCAUCCUCACAAUCUGAUAGAGUAGGAUGAGAAAACUGAGGCUCAGAACUUUAAGAGAACUCCUCAGGGACAUAUAUCUAAGGAGUGGCCAAGGUAGAUUUUAAGCCCAGGUUUAUCUGGCUUCAAGGGCCACACAACACUAAUAGCUACUGUUAUUGAGCACAUUUUAUGAAAAAAACACUGUUUUAAGCCCUUUAUAUGUAUUAUUUUGUUUUAAAUCUCACCACUAUUCUUUCAUGUAUGUUCUAGAUGAACAAACUGAGGCUCAGAGAGCUUACAUCAUUCAUCCCAGGUUAGAACUGAUGGAAACAUUGAAGCUCAGAAAGGAUAGGUAGCCUAUCUAAGGCCACACAUCCCCCAUCAUCCAUGGAUUAUUACAUUAGAUAUUCUUUGCUGAGAGAAGCACACUGUUUUUAGCAGAUGCUUUGAAAAGCCUACUUCAGGACACAAACUGAACUCCCAGGACAGGAACUUCUCCAAGAAUGUGUCCAUCAGGGGGACUCUAUUCCACGGAGACACUCAGGGACGAAGGCUGACUGAGGCUUGACCGUCUUGCUACAUUACUCUCUCAAUAUGUGGCUUUCGAGUUUGCCAAAGCAGGAGAAGGAAGCUAGAGGGUUGAACAAGGCUUUUCACUGACCCAGCCCAGAAGAAACACAUGCUACCUCUGUUCCCAGUUAUUGCAGAACUAGUCACAGGGCCCCAAGCAAACUGCAAAGGAGGUUGGGAAAUAUGAGAACCAUACGGAUAUUUAAUGAAUACCAAAUGUUCCUGUCAUACUCCUUAUUAUAGAUCGAACAGUGUUCCCCCCAAAAGAUAUGUUUAAGUCCCAACCGUUAGUACCUCAGAAUAUGAUCUUAUUUGGAAACAGGGUCUUUAUAGAGGUAAUCAAGUUAAAAUUCCUUCCAGUUAAAAUCCUUCUUCUGUCUCCUGUUAAAAUGAGGUCAUUAGAGUGAGCCUUAACCCAACAUGACUGAUGUCACUAUAAAAGGAAGUCAUUUGGACACAGAUACGGACAUGCACAGAAGGAAGAUGCCGUGAACACAUGCAGGGAGCAGAUCACCACGUGAAGAUGGAAGCAGAGAUUACAGGUAUGUUGCCACAAGCCAACAAAUGCUUGGGUCACCAAAAGCUAGGAGAGAGGCAUGGAACCUCAAAAGGAGCCAAUCCUGCUGACAUCUUGAUUUUGGACUUCUAGCUUCUGGAACUAAGAGAGAAUAAAUUUCUGUUGUUCUAAACCAACGGUUUGUGGUACUUUGCUACAGUAGUCUUAGGAAAUGAAUACAUUCAUCUAUCAAGUUUUUGCAUAAAGAAAUUUAAUACAUGGAAUUACGUGCUUAUGAAUCUGUUAGAAUGACUAGAAAAACAGGCUCUAGGCUAGAUAUCCUGGAAUUACAGUCAUGCUUUGCUUAACGAUGGG